rnacentral:lncRNA from 1 species
UGUGACUUCAGGCUACUAUGUCUCUCAAAGCCCAGUCACAUAGCCUAACCUAAGUUUGCAACAUUAUACAAUUCACUGCACAACUCAGUUUAUGUAUUAUUGAGUUUCAAUCGUAUUAGUGGUGUGUGUGUGUGUGUGUGCGGAUGUGUGUGUGUGACAUGCAUGGUAGAGUGUGGGGUUAUGGAGGAAAGUGUUGAUAAACAUGCUGAGUAGGAGCAGGGUGGUGGUGUGUGGGAUAGACAUGGAUUAUGUGACAGGGAAUGAGUGUGUUUUGGGGUGUAGACAGUAUGAGACUGUUUGAAUGGUAUACAGGAAAAGGGUGUUUGUGCGCGUGUGCGUGUGCGUGUGUGUGUGCAUGUGCGUGUGUGUGUGUGUGUGUGUGUGUGUGUGUGGACCAGAAGUCCCCACAAGAAUAGUAAACAAACAAAAAUUGGACCAACUGUGAACAGUUGACCUAUGAGGUCAAAUGCUAUUUCUAGGGGUUUAGGCUUAAGGUUAGAAUUUGUGUUAGAAUUAUGCUAAGGGUUAGGGUUAGGAGCUAGGGUUAGUUUUAGGGUUAGGAGCUAGGGUUAGUUUUAGGAUUAGGAGCUGGGGUUAGUUUUAGGAUUAGGAGCUGGGGUUCGUUUUAGGAUUAGAAGCUGGGGUUAGUUUUAGGAUGAGGAGCUGGGGUUAGUUUUAGGAUUAGGAGCUGGGGUUAGUUUUAGGAUUAGGAGCUGGGGUUAGUUUUAGGAUUAGGAGCUGGGGUUAGUUUUAGGAUUAGAAGCUGGGGUUAGUUUUAGGAUUAGGAGCUGGGGUUAGUUUUAGGAUUAGGAGCUAUGGUUAGUUUUAGGAUUAGGAGCUGGGGUUAGUUUUAGGGUUAGGAGCUAGGGUUAGUUUUAGGAUUAGGAGCUAGGGUUAGGGUAAGGGGUUAGGGAAAAUAGGAUUUUGAAUGGGACUGAAUUAUGUGUCCCCACAAGGUUAGUUAUACAAGACUGUGUGUGUGUGUGACAUUUCCUCAGGCCCUUACCUCACAGGGGUGGGCAACUCCAGUCCUUGAGGGCCUGAUUGGUGUCACACCUUUUUUCCAUCCCUAGCAAACACAGGUGAUUA